CAGUAGCCACGGUAAUACGUAGGUGGCAAGCGUUGUCCGGAAUUAUUGGGCGUAAAGCGCGCGCAGGCGGUCCUUUAAGUCUGAUGUGAAAGCCCACGGCUCAACCGUGGAGGGUCAUUGGAAACUGGGGGACUUGAGUGCAGAAGAGGAAAGUGGAAUUCCAAGUGUAGCGGUGAAAUGCGUAGAGAUUUGGAGGAACACCAGUGGCGAAGGCGACUUUCUGGUCUGUAACUGACGCUGAGGCGCGAAAGCGUGGGGAGCAAACAGGAUUAGAUACCCCAGUAGUCCCUGUCUCUUAUAA
rnacentral:rRNA from 1 species